CUCAGGCACAGGGAGAUGAUGGGGUCUCAGGCUCAGCUGUUCUGCCUCCUGCUUCUCUGCAUCCCAGGUUCCAGGGGAGCCAUUGAGGUGACCCAGUCACCAUCCUCCCUGGCUGUGUCUCCAGGAGAGAGGGUCACCCUGUCCUGCAGGGCCAGUCAGAGCAUUAACAACCAUAUAUUCUGGUUCCAAAAGUACCCAGGCCAGGCUCCUGGGGUCCUUAUUAGGUAUGCUUCCACCCUGCACUCUGGGGUCCCUGCCCGGUUCAGUGGCAGUGGCUCUGGGACAGAUUUCUCUCUUACCAUCAGUGCUGUGGAACCAGAGGAUGUCGCAGACUAUUACUGCCUACAAGUCAAUAGCUGGCCUCUCACAGUGCUCUAG